rnacentral:rRNA from 1 species
UACGGAGGGUGCGAGCGUUGUCCGGAAUCAUUGGGCGUAAAGGGUGCGUAGGCGGCGGAGUAAGUUGGGUGUGAAAUCCCGGGGCUCAACCUCGGAAUUGCAUUCAAUACUGCUUCGCUCGAGUACUGGAGAGGAGGCUGGAAUUUACGGUGUAGCAGUGAAAUGCGUAGAUAUCGUAAGGAAGGCCGGUGGCGAAAGCGAGCCUCUGGACAGUUACUGACGCUGAUGCACGAAGGCCAGGGGAGCAAACGGG